UACGAAGGGGGCUAGCGUUGCUCGGAAUCACUGGGCGUAAAGCGCACGUAGGCGGAUUGCUAAGUCAGGGGUGAAAUCCUGGAGCUCAACUCCAGAACUGCCUUUGAUACUGGCGAUCUUGAGUCCGGGAGAGGUGAGUGGAACUCCGAGUGUAGAGGUGAAAUUCGUAGAUAUUGGGAGGAACACCAGAGGCGAAGGCGGCGACCUGGAAGGUAACUGACACUGAGCAGCGAAAGCGUGGGGAGCAAACAGG
rnacentral:rRNA from 1 species